rnacentral:rRNA from 1 species
UACGAAGGGGGCUAGCGUUGCUCGGAAUUACUGGGCGUAAAGGGUGCGCAGGCGGCGUCGCAAGUCAGGCGUGAAAUCCCCGGGCUUAACCUGGGAACUGCAUUUGUGACUGCAUCGCUGGAGUGCGGCAGAGGGGGAUGGAAUUCCGCGUGUAGCAGUGAAAUGCGUAGAUAUGCGGAGGAACACCGAUGGCGAAGGCAAUCCCCUGGGCCUGCACUGACGCUCAUGCACGAAAGCGUGGGGAGCAAACAGG